rnacentral:rRNA from 1 species
AGAGUUUGAUCAUGGCUCAGGAUGAACGCUAGCUACAGGCUUAACACAUGCAAGUCGAGGGGAAACGAUAUUGGAAGCUUGCUUCCGAUAGGCGUCGACCGGCGCACGGGUGAGUAACGCGUAUCCAACCUGCCCACCACUUGGGGAUAACCUUGCGAAAGUAAGACUAAUACCCAAUGAUAUCUCUAGAAGACAUCUGAAAGAGAUUAAAGAUUUAUCGGUGAUGGAUGGGGAUGCGUCUGAUUAGCUUGUUGGCGGGGUAACGGCCACCAAGGCGACGAUCAGUAGGGGUUCUGAGAGGAAGGUCCCCCANAUUGGAACUGAGACACGGGUCCAAACUCAUACGGGAGGCA